AAAGAGCUUUGAAUGGUGACAUGCCCAAAGAGCUGUGGAAGUUCAAGUUAUACCAAAAUUCAGCUUGUGCCAACCAUUUACUCCAUUCUGUUGGUUUAUGGCCCGUCAUGCAUCUGAGGCCACUGAUGAAAUCCAUAGCCACAUGUUCCCAAGCUCGAGUUGGAAUUGGUAAUGGCUGCAAUAAUCCGGGGUAAGAAAUAUUUUCAUCUUUGUUUCGCUGGCAUAUUUCACACUCCCUAAUCUGUUUUUUCAUAUCUUGUAAUAAAUUGGGCCAGUAGAAAAUGUUUCUGAUUCUCUGUUGAGUAGCUAACACACCCGAAUGUCCUC